CAGCACCUCAAGUGGUCAGGAUGAUUAUUGGGCCUAAAGCAUCCGUAGCCGGCUCUGUAAGUUUUCGGUUAAAUCUGUAUGCUCAACAUACAGGCUGCCGGGAAUACUGCAGAGCUAGGGAGUGGGAGAGGUAGACGGUACUCGGUAGGAAGGGGUAAAAUCCUUUGAUCUAUUGAUGACCACCUGUGGCGAAGGCGGUCUACCAGAACACGUCCGACGGUGAGGGAUGAAAGCUGGGGGAGCAAACCGGAUUAGAUACCCGAGUAGCCC
rnacentral:rRNA from 1 species